rnacentral:lncRNA from 1 species
AUAAAACUAAAAACUUGUCCACAGAAAAACAAAAACAAAAUAAGGUGUAAGAUACAGACACUAAACUGAAAGCCAAAAUCAGCUGGCUAUGACUUGCAGGGUGAGAUGGGGAUGGUAUUCACUUGCAGGAUGAGAUGGGGAUGGUAUUCACUUGCAGGGUGAGAUGGGGGAUGGUAUUCACUUGCAGGGUGAGAUGGGGAUGGUAUUCACUUGCAGGGUGAGAUGGGGAUGGUAUUCACUUGCAGGGUAAGAUGGGGGAUGGUACUUGCAGGGUGAGAUGGGGGAUGGUACUUGCAGGGUGAGAUGGGGGAUGGUACUUGCAGGAUGAGAUGGGGGGAUGGUACUCACUUGCAGGGUGAGAUGGGGGAUGGUACUCACUUGCAGGGUGAGAUGGGGGAUGGUACUUGCAGGGUGAGAUGGGGGAUGGUACUCAAUUGCAGGGUGAGAUGGGGGAUGGUACUUGCAGGGUGAGGUGGGGGAUGAUACUUGCAGGGUGAGAUGGGGAUGGUACUUGCAGGGUGAGAUAGGGGAUGGUACUUGCAGGCUGAGGUGGGGGAUGGUACUUGCAGGCUGAGGUGGGGGAUGGUACUUGCAGGGUGAAGUGGGUGAUGGUACUUGCAGGGUAAGAUGGGGGAUGGUACUCGCACUUACAGGGCUAGAUGGGGGAUGAUACUUGCAGGGUGAGAUGAGGGGGUGGUACUUGCAGGGUGAGAUGAGAUGGUACUUGCAGGGUGAAAUGCAGGGAUGGUACUCACUUGCAGGGUGAGAUGGGAUGGUAGUUACAGGGUGAGAUGGGGAGAUGGUACUUGCAGGGUGAGAUGGGGGAUGGUACUUGCAGGGUGAAAUGGGAUGGUACUUGCAGGGUGAGAUGGGAUGGUACUCACUUGAGGGUUGAGAUGUGGGGGAUGGUACUUGCUGGGUGAGAUGGGAUGGUACUUGCCAGGUGAGAUGGGGGAUGGUACUUGCAGGGUGAGAUGGGGGGAUGGUACUCACUUGCAGGGUGAGAUGGGGGGAUGGUACUCACUUGCAGGGUGAGAUGGG